CAGGCUUAGAAUCCCGUAACUUCUUUCUGAUCCCAGGGCCCAUGGUGUCUCUGAAGCUAUUGCGUAGUUACUCCAGCUUACUUUUCUACUGCUGCCAAAGUAACUAGGGGCCAGGAAGAGAGUUCUAUGUAGAAUUCUGAGUGACUUGCUCAUUCUAUUUGAUUAUCUGUGUGUGUGUAUGUGCACUCUUCUUGAUUUGAAAACAAACCUCCAGUCCUCUGUUUGAAUUUAAGCAGCAAUAAACCAAUGACAAUAAUUCCACUCACAUUUGUCUAGAACUCUCCAUUAAGAGGAGGACUGUGGAAGAAAGUCCAACAAAAGGGACUGAAAAGGGACAAUCAGACUGAAGCAGAACCCGCGGACAAAAUCGCUGGAGUUUCCAUCUCUUGGCUAGAGAACGUCCCUACAAGAAAAAGCUGACCCUUGACACCGCCAGAAACUUUCCCCAGACUUGGCCUUCAUUUGUAGGAGUCGCCCCUCUGAGGACGCCCCCCGCGAGUCCCAGAGGUUUUGUAACACUCAAGAAGUACAUGAAAGAGGCCUCUUUCAUCAAGUAUUCUUAAGUUAUGAAAAUGGAAUUGAAGCAUAUUUUCCCCCUUCGUAUGAGAGAGAACUUACGUGAAAUCAAGUAUUCGCGAUUUUUCAGAACUGCAUAUGGAGAAGUUGCUGAAAUUCAAUCUUGCUUCCAGAUAAAGUCAGCACAGCAUUACCCAGUUAUUAUGUAGCAUUUCCAUGCAAACUAAUAAAUAGUAUUUCAACUUAAAAUUUCGGUUUUUAAUCUAGAUGUAACUUAAAAACUCUUACAAGUAAAAACUCUUAGAAGUAAGCAUUCUUGUCCAUCAGAAGUUUGUACAGAAAAAGCAAAUUCAAAGGGACAAAUAUGGGCAGUGCCUUCCAGCACUGACAGGGGGAAAAGAUCCUGGCUCAAGAACACAGGUCUCUAGGCAAUGAAGCAAGUGUAUCCCUCAAGAGAGAAGAAUGCAUUAAGUUGUCAUGGCUUUGAAACAUCAGCCAUUUACACCUCCCAACUUAUUCCCCUGGUUCUGAACCCAGAUUCACUUGGUAACCAUUCCAUUGCUUAUAAUUCUUCUUUGCAUAUACUUGUAUCUGUAUCUACAUCUAUACCUACAGGGACAAAAUACAGCAGUCAAUAUAACUCAUUAGCUUGAUGGAUGUAUUUCUUAUUGUAAACUAAUAUAUUGGCAUUCUGAGAUAAAAAAGCUUUUUUAUUCAUGUGAAUAUUGUCAGUGAGAUCAUUUUAAAGUCACAUAACUCUCAGCCACACAUACGGAGGUAGAAGUUCCGUUUCUGGAACAUGAGACUAGAAAUUG
rnacentral:lncRNA from 1 species